ensembl:lncRNA
AAUAAUUGUACUUUGUUACUUAGAUGAACUUUUAUGUGUAAAUGAGCCUCCUUGACAAAGGGCAGAACUCAAUCUCUCUUUACAGGUUCAGAUCUCAAGCAGUCAGACAGCUCAGAGAGGAAGUUCAAAAGGAGUCUGAUGACGAGCAGCUGUGUGCAAACGCCUCCGAGCUUCUUUAAAUAAGAGGCCAGCUGUUAGUUUAUUGUGGAGCAGAACGCAGGUUGUUGCAGCGUCUGGUCGAAGACUCCGUCAUGUCUCUCUUUGUGAUUCUCGCCCUGCUCGUCUGCAUUGAGGCUCAAGGUAAGAAACCCACACAGCAGAGAGGUCUUUAUUCUAUAUAUUAUAUAGUAUUAGUAAUAAUAGAUACAUAAUAUUUAUAUAUGCAUGUAUACAUGUCACACAUCCAAGGAGAAGGAGUGACUCUGAAAACCUUGAGGGGAACUUAAUACAAAACCUAAACUUCUUUUAUAUCUUUUUUAAAUGACCAACAUGUUUUAGACUUUUUAAAGUUUAAAAGUAAAAAAAUUCUGCUUAUUAAUAAAACUCAACAAUUAUUUUUGCAAAGAAUAUAUUUUUUCUUUUCAACACUGAGAAUUAAAGACAAAUCAGUACAACAAUUUAAGAGAUUUAAAAACAAAUGUGCCAAAAUCUUAUUAGUAUGCUAAAAUAAAUGUAGCUUUAUGAAGCCCUUACAAUACAUACACAACAUGUUUGUCCAAAACAACUCACAUUUUCUUAUAUGAACACAUAAAGAAGCAGAAGAGAAAAGGAUCAAAGCUAGUGAACAUUCACACAAGCUUUACUUGUGUUACUCUUUCAGUCUGCAGUCUGGGGAAACAAAUACUUUUUGUCUGAUUUUAUAAAUACAUUCACGACACCGGAAUGAUAAAUUGUGUGUGUACAAGAUGAAAGAAAGUCCCCAGGUUUUCUUUUGAAAUGGAAAUUAAACAAAUAAAAACGUAAAAACAAUUGUUCCACCUCCUUAGUCAGAGUCCUCUGUCCUGGGUGAGACAUUUAAAGAGACCUCUUGCACCCAUUGAGAGGUCAUGAUGAGCUGAAGGUGUGUGAACCGGUGGUUCAAUGUGUAUGAAAUAAAGUCUAUGGAUGGAGUAACAUUCAGCAAUGAAUGAUUCAUCAUGUAGUGUGUGUAAUGUUCAUUGUAUCAUGUGUCUACUGUUUUUACAGAGCCCAUUGUGACGCCUUUGUUUGUGCAGAAGGGACAUGAUCUGCUCCUGAAGUUUGAUGCUGAUCUUCCUGAGCAGGUUUCAUUUGUUGACUGGAAAUUCAAUAGAACAGUCACUUUAGUAAGAUUUGCUGCUAGUGGAGAAGCAUUUGUCUUAACAGGGUCUGUAGACGCUCCGCAGGGAAGGUUUGAGUUUCCUGAGAAAAGAUUCUUUUUGAUAUUGAUGAAUCUACAAGAGGCCGACAGUGGGGUUUAUUCUGCUGUAGCAGCAACGCUUCAAGGGGACAAAGCACUAGUUGAAUACCAGGUCACAGUCCAAGGACCAGUGUCUCCAGUUGAACUGACUGACGUGGACCGAGUGGACUCCAACAGCUCAGUCACCUUUUAAACCCUUGAUGAUGUUCCACUGACUCCCAGCUGGUGGCAGCAACACACCAGGAGAAGAAAAGAGGCAGACGACCACAAAGCAGCAAAACAUGGACGCAAACAAUUUAGAAUUUAAAGUAUUAACAAAUUCAGCUUUGCAGAUAUUUCCUGGUGAAGUUGAUUAUACACAAUAUAUCAUACACACAAGACCAUUUAAAUAUAUGUUUUAAUUUUUCUCAUUUUGGUGGAUGUCAUCUUGAAGAAAAUGACAAAUAAAUCUGCUUAUGUAUAAUCAAGACUAACUAUAUCUAAGUAAUUAACCUUAAGUACAAUCAUAAAAAAAUAUACUUUGCAUCCUUGUCUGCUUGCAUGUAUGGUAUUUACUUGUACACAAUUCUGUUCAGCAGGUUUUGUUUUGUGUGGAAACUUAGAACUUGUUAAAGCUUCAUACUUAUCUUGCGUUUCAGUGAUUAAAAGGUCACGUGUUCCUCUCUGGUGUACUGUCAGUUUUUACCAAAGAAUCAAUAUGUGCUGUUAUUAUAGUAAAGACACUUGAUAUAAAAUACAAAAUAUAUAAUGGAAAAUAUAUUUUUUAAAUUCUCUAUUACAGUUGAAAAAUAUUUUAUUCAUUUUUUUGUCUAAAAAAUAAAAUGAUAUAACAGAA